GAACAAUGCAGUGGCAUUCAGAAUUUUUUCCUCUCUGGAGCAAGACCAUGCUUACACAUAGAAUUUCUGCAUUAAUCAGUUCUGGAAACCAGACUCUUCGAAUCUUAAACUCAGAUAGCCAGGAUCAAGAAACUUUGAGCAAAAGUCUGAUCAAUAUCAGCACAAAUCCUUCUCUUCCAUCUCCUUUGCUUUCACAAAACAUAGACUUUAUGGUCUUUUUGCAGGUUGCUGGUAGUUGUAUUGAUGCAAGUAAGAAGGAUGUGAGCCUCAGAUCAUCCUGAUGGGGAUGCUGUUAACGUGCACGACAGAAAAUGGAUUACAAAUGAGCUAUCCUGCAGAAGAAGGCUUUAUAUUUUUCUUUAUUAAUUUUUGUUAACUGGUCAACAGGGCAUUAAAGCCUUGUGAUGUAUUAACUUGUUGGCUUGGAACUGGUUUAAGACUGGGCAAGGAAGAGUUUUUGAUACACCAUAUUUUGACAUCAGCAAACAUUUAAGAUAUCUGUAAUACCACUGUGACUUCAACAAUGUUUUAUUUGUCCAAGCUAAUGUGGUACUCUAAAUAUAUUUAGUUUUUGUAGUUUAAAUAUGGAUCUAACUAUAUUGCUUAAACAAUAAGUUGUUUUGAGUUAUGUGUUGGCCUUGAGAAUUAAUUCUAAGAAACUUUCUUCAAAAAGAAAUAGUAAAAUACCAGGGACAGGAAACUACUGGCAAGAUUAUCUUUUCUGUAUUAUAGGUUCUCUGGUUUUAGCCAUUAAGACUAUUAAAGAGAAAUCAAAUGGCAUGGUAACCUUGAGUUCUGAUGUACCACACAAAAGAAUACUUCCCCUAAAUGCCACUGUAGUGUCCAGAGGAUGUGUGACAGCUUUACUGCCUGCACCAACAUGCAAGAUCCAUGGGUUGCACAUUGCUUUUUGGCUUCAGUCUUUCAUCAGAGGCAUGAUUAAUGCUAAGAAGUUAAAAAACUUGCAUUCACACUGUAGCUCUCACUUCUUUUGUUUUCUGCUUCACUCUGUCACUAAAUUGUAC
rnacentral:lncRNA from 1 species